rnacentral:lncRNA from 1 species
UCAAGGUAUGUGAGAUAUUCAAGAAGUGAAUUUAGCAUUAUCACCUCCCAGUGAGUUUCCAUGGCUGAGUAGGGAUUCAAAACCAAGUUUGCUGAGUCCUAGUACAACACUCUAUUUAUUAUACCAUAAUGAGUCUUAGAAGAUUGAUGUUUAAAUCCCCAAUAGAAAGUCAUCUGGGGGUAGCAAUGGUAAAUCAUACUUGCCUGUGAUGAUGGCACAUAAUAACAACAGAAAAUAGGUAAAGAUUAGCUUUUCAAAUAGAGAUGGGAAGCAAAGUGGCUGCCAGUGCAGAGUGUAGAGCUGUUGACCCUAAACCCGAGACUUAUUAGAACACUAUACUCCCUAUUCCAAUGAUUUUCACCCCUUUGAAAUCUAUUGCUCUUUUUUUGCUUUAUGUUCUUUUUUUAAAAAGCGAUCUUCAACACCAGGGCAACAACAAAAAGAUUGUUCAGUUCAUCAACAGAAUAACUCUUAACUGUGCAGGUUGGAUCUGA